AUUGAACGCUGGCGGAAUGCUUUACACAUGCAAGUCGAACGGCAGCACGGACUUCGGCCUGGUGGCGAGUGGCGAACGGGUGAGUAAUAUAUCGGAACGUGCCCAGUCGUGGGGGAUAACGUAGUGAAAAUUACGCUAAUACCGCAUACGAUCUAGGGAUGAAAGCGGGGGAUCGCAAGACCUAGCGCGAUUGGAGCGGCCGAUAUCAGAUUAGGUAGUGGGUGAGGUAAAGGCUCACCAGGCCGACGAUCGGUAGCUGGUCUGAGAGGACGACCAGCCACACUGGAACUGAGACACGGUCCAGACUCCUACUGGAGGCAGCAGUGGGGAAUUUUGGACAAUGGACGCAAGUCUGAUCCAGCCAUUCCGCGUGCAGGACGAAGGCCUUCGGGUUGUAAACUGCUUUUGUACAGAACGAAAAGGUCUCUAUUAAUACUAGGGGCUCAUGACGGUACUGUAAGAAUAAGCACCGGCUAACUACGUGCCAGCAGCCGCGGUAA
rnacentral:rRNA from 1 species